AACAUACAUUGGACGCGGGAUCCGUUUUGAUUUCGGGUUAUCUUAUACCCGUUCAUUCGGAUCUAUAUAAAAGGCACUACCCAGUAAUUCAGACCACUUUCUUUCCUAUUCCCUCUAAACCCUAGCCGACAAGUUCAUCGUAUUAUUCGUUCUUCUUUGCCGAUCUGAAGAUGAAGAUGAGCAUCAGUCUUGAUGUAAACUCCAUGGCGUCCAGACAUGUUUCCUUCCUGAAUCUUGAAUUUGAUGUUUUUAUUUUUUUGAAUCUAAUUUCUUUUUUCUUGAAUAAACACUAUGUUUUGAGCAAAAAAAAAUUACCUGUAAAAGAUGUAACCAUCAUGUGAAAGAUCGACCAUCAGCUAAUCUUGAUUUUGGUUAUUCAGUCAGAUCCCUUAUAACCUUUCAUCUCAAUAGUUCUCAUUCUCACUUUCCCCUUUUCAGCAAACCCUGACCGAAACCAUUGUUGUAUCCUCUUUUUGAGAGAAAUUAUUCCAAUUAAUCGAAGCAAUGAUCCAAUAAUCACAUUCUACAGCAAACAAAAAAGAGAUAGAUCGCAUUCAGUUGCAAAUCCGUCUUCGAUGAUGGCGCUGAUUUUAUGUGCAAGGUCACCAUUAGAGCCUGGACCUACAACAACCUUGCCAGAUAGAAAGUUGUUGGUGUUCAUUCUUGAUAGGCUUCAAAAGAAGGAUACUCAUGUUGUUUUAUCUGAACCUGUCAAUCUGACUGAGCCCAUGUACUAUGUGUUUUAGAAUCGCCACUCUUCUUUUGAUUCUUGAUUAUAAAUGUAGAAUUGACAUGAGAAAAGGAUUUGGACAACCCGACCCGGUUCGUUUCGAGCAAAAAAAUUACCUCUAAAAGAUGUAACCAUCAUGCAGUCAUCCCGCAGGGGUUAAACUGGAGGCUCAAGAAAACAAAGACUUAUCAAGGAAUUCUGCGCGCGAAUAUAAAGCGUCAAUGAUGGUGUUUUGAAGACCAAGGCGCCGCCUCCGGCGAUGACGUUAGAUUUACGGGGACGCUCCGGCCGACUUUUGAUAGUGUUGAUUAUUAAUAUGAGGUGAUAAGGCACGGCCUGUGUUGGCAUUCAUUGCCUCAAACUUGCAACAAGAAUUGGAGAAAAUCAACUCUACAAUAGAGGAUUAGUUGUCAUACCUUUUAUCAUCCUUAGAAAUACCUUCGUUGUUGCACUUAGCAAUCACCAGGUUAUGGUGAAGCUGUAAAUAAUUUGGGAAAGUGGAAACCAACCAAGGCCCACACAAAUGACUUCUUUAACCAUUCUUCUUGCAAUUAGGGAUUUCCCAGGGACUGGAUAUGAAUCAAAGAGACAUUAUUACCGCUAGGUAGAUCUAAAGGUAUGAGUUCUUUUAACAUUUAAGUGUAUUACAUUUAUGAUAACAGUUGUGGACAAAUAACUGUUACUAUUACUGUUAAAUAUGUUUAUGAUUGUUAAUUGGAUUUGUAUUUGAUAUAUUUGAUUUUAUGUGUUAGGUUAUUAGUGUGUAAGGUGUGGUUUUAGGUUAUUAGUGGUUGAAUAAUGGUUGUUAUUGAUGUGCUAAAGUUAUAUGAUGUGCUAUAAGGAUUGGAACUGAUGCAAGACACACGUGAACGAUAAAUGAAAGUAAGACUGUUUCUUUUGAAACUUCAAUAUUUUUAGAAUUAUUUUAAUAAUGACAUGUUUGAAAUUCUUUUUUUUUAAGAUUGUUUUUCAUGUUUUAAUGGGGAUACUGUUUAUUUAAGUUUGUUUGAUGAUAGGUAAUUAGUUUUAAAAUUAAAACCUAAGAAAAGGCCUAAGUUGUGUGAUAGAAACCUCACCACUUCAAAUCAUAAUGGGUUGAAUCUGUUUAGGCCGAAUUGGAGGAGCCUAGAACGUGGAUCUGAAAUUUUAAAGGGUGACAAAUAAUCCAACUAACCCAGAUAACCCAGUCAAUUAGAAGUCAACAACAUGGGAAACCGUAUUAGUGGGGAGGGUUGUUAUAUGGGGUAAUCAGUUAGACAUGGUUUUAUUUAAUAAACGUUGUUAGAUUAGGGUGGCGAUGUUUUAUUAUCAAAUUAGGGUUCUUUCCUAAACAUUGGAGAUCAAGCCUAUAUUGACGCUAAUUGGAAUCGUUCUUUCACAAUCAAAGAUUUCAAUUUCCGAUUUUUAUCACUGUGUUCUUUAAAAAUCAACUUUUAAUUUUAAUUGUAUAUGUGAUGGUUUAUUAAAUCUAUGGGUCGGCGGAUCGACAACCGCGAAGGCGGCGCUGUUACACUCAUGAAGAAGCUUCUCAAAGAACCUGUAUUCCCAAUCUGCCCUUUGACUAUUAAUUCUGAGUGUGUCUCGAAACUGAAGGAGGAGAUGCAAAGUAAUUCAUGUGAAAAACAAUACGAGUCAGCUCUGAUAUUGUUUGGACCAUCUCAUAUAUUUUCAAGUUUUAUGUGAUCCAAUUAAUCAUUGGUAUAAAGGUCUUUUUAUUUUUUUCUUUAUAUUGUUAUCUUUUUAGUAAAUGAUGAAGUCAAGUAUAGGCUUUAAAUUUAUAAUAUGCUAUAGUUAAUUGGAGUUGCGGUCUCAUAUUUUUUUGUUUUGUAAGUGAUGUAUUCAAGUGUAAUACCUGACAUAACAACUUCAUUUAAGAACAAAUUUCGCAACAAGGUUAUGUUUAUGUUUA